UCUUCUCAUUUUAUAGGAUUUUAUUAGUUUUCUCUCUCUUAAACCACCUUCCGCUCAUCUUUUUAAAACAAAACACAAAGCAUUUCUAAACCAGAUUCUUCAAUAGAUCUCUAAACCAACCAUGGUGAGCAUCACAACAAAUCCACACACAAACAUCGGUCCUAAACCAAAAUCCCUAAUUUCCGACUUUCUGACCUAACAUUCAAACCAGAUCGUACAUGAACGGAGAAAUAGGAGAUGCAAGGAGCUCCGAUGGUACAUUCAAAGCAAUAAUCGAAACAGAUUUACUCAUUCAACAGUUAUCAAGUCAUUAUGCAUUAUGAUGGAAGUCGAAAUACCUUCGUCUAUUCGAAUUUCGAUGAUUCUUCGAGCAAAAUCUUCUCCUGGUCCACGUGGCUUAGCUCAGUUUUCUUAAAGUUCUAAUGAUGACCUCUGAGUAAACUUUGGGAGUAUCGAGCUUUGGUGAUUGGGUGUGAGUGAAAUCUCAGCAGGGUAACGUCGCGGAAUCAGGUUACAACUCUGAGGUGGCUUUGAUGGAAUGGGAAGAAAAAGUAGGCUGUAAGACGGUACACUUGGAGGCGCGCUAGUCUUGGCCAUUAGAAUUAGGGACCUUUUUUUGCAGCAGAUUCC